rnacentral:rRNA from 1 species
UACGUAGGGUGCGAGCGUGUCCGGAAUUAUUGGGCGUAAAGGGCUCGUAGGCGGUUUGUCGCGUCGGGAGUGAAAUCCACUGGCUUAACUGGUGGCUUGCUUUCGAUACGGGCAGACUGGAGGUAUGCAGGGGGAGAACGGAAUUCCUGGUGUAGCGGUGAAAUGCGCAGAUAUCAGGAGGAACAUCGGUGGCGAAGGCGGGUCUCUGGGCCGAUACUGACGCUGAGGAGCGAAAGCGUGGGGAGCGAACAGG